rnacentral:lncRNA from 7 species
GUUCUUUGCGUUCUUUGCGUUCUUUGCGUUGUUGUUUUUGAACUGUCACCUAAUUUUCUGCCCUAUGUUUCUGUCUCUGUGGAGGUUCUUUCCGUUCUUUCCGUUCUUUCCGUUGUUGGUCUUGACCUGUCACCUAAUUUUCUGCCCUAUGUUUCUGUCUCUGUGGAAAUUCUUUCCGUUGUUUCCGUUCUUUCUGUUGUUGUUUUUGAACUGUCACCUAAUUUUAUGCCCUAUGUUUCUGUCUCUGUGGAGGUUCUUUCCGUUUUUUCCGUUUUUUCCGUUUUUUCCGUUUUUCCGUUUUUUUCCGUUUUUCCGUUUUUUCCGUUUUUUCCGUUUUUUUUCCGUUUUUCCGUUUUUUCCUUUUUUUCGUUUUUUUUUCCGUUUUUUCCGUUUUUUCCGUUUUUUCCGUUUUUUCCGUUUUUUCCGUUUUUUCCGUUCUUUCCGUUCUUUCCGUUUUUUCCAUUCUUUCCAUUCUUUCCAUUCUUUCUGUUGUUGUUUUUGAACUGUCACCUAAUUUUCUGCCCUAUGUUUCUGUCUCUGUGGAGGUUCUUUCCGUUCUUUCCGUUCUUUCUGUUGUUGUUUUUGAACUGUCACCUAAUUUUCUGCCCUAUGUUUCUGUCUCUGUGGAGGUUCUUUCCGUUCUUUGCGUUCUUUGCGUUGUUGUUUUUGAACUGUCACCUAAUUUUCUGCCCUAUGUUUCUGUCUCUGUGGAGGUUCUUUCCGUUCUUUCCAUUCUUUCCGUUCUUUUCUGUUCUGUUUGUUGUUUUUGAACUGUCACCUAAUUUUCUGCCCUAUGUUUCUGUCUCUGUGGAGGUUCUUUCCGUUCUUUCAGUUCUUUCAGUUCUUUCAGUUCUUUCAGUUCUUUCAGUUCUUUCAGUUCUUUCAGUUCUUUCAGUUCUUUCAGUUCUUUCAGUUCUUUCCGUUCUUUCCGUUCUUUCCGUUCUUUCCGUUCUUUCCGUUCUUUCCGUUCUUUCAGUUCUUUCAGUUCUUUCAGUUCUUUCAGUUCUUUCAGUUCUUUCAGUUCUUUCAGUUCUUUCAGUUCUUUCAGUUCUUUCCGUUCCUUCCGUUCCUUCCGUUCCUUCCGUUCCUUCCGUUCUUUCCAUUGUUGUUUUUGAACUGUCACCUAAUUUUCUGUUCUAUGUUUCUGUCUCUGUGGAGGUUCUUUCCGUUCUUUCCGUUCUGUCCGUUCUUUCGGUUCUUUUUGUUGUUUUUGAACUGUGACCUAAUUUUCUGCCCUUUGUUUCUGUCUUUGUGGAGGUUCUUUCCGUUCUUUCCGUUCUUUUUGUUGUUUUUGACCUGUCACCUAAUUUUCUGCCCUAUGUUUCUGUCUCUGUGGAGGUUCUUUCCGUUCUUUGCGUUCUUUCUGUUGUUGUUUUUGAACUGUCACCUAAUUUUCUGCCCUAUGUUUCUGUCUCUGUGGAGGUUCUUUGCGUUCUUUCCGUUCUUUCCGUUGUUGGUCUUGACCUGUCACCUAAUUUUCUGCCCUAUGUUUCUGUCUCUGUGGAAGUUCUUUCCAUUCUUUCCGUUCUUUCUGUUGUUGUUUUUGAACUUUCACCUAAUUUUCUGCCCUAUGUUUCUGUCUCUGUGGAGGUUCUUUCCGUUCUUUCCGUUCUUUCUAUUGUUGUUUUUGAACUGUCACCUAAUUUUAUGCCCUAUGUUUCUGUCUCUGUGGAGGUUCUUUGCGUUCUUUGCGUUGUUGUUUUUGAACUGUCACCUAAUUUUCUGCCCUAUGUUUCUGUCUCUGUGGAGGUUCUUUCCGUUCUUUCCGUUCUUUCCGUUCUUUCCGUUCUUUUUGAACUGUCACCUAAUUUUCUGCCCUAUGUUUCUGUCUCUGUGGAGGUUCUUUCCGUUCUUUCUGUCUCUGUGGAGGUUCUUUCCGUUCUUUCUGUCUCUGUGGAGGUUUUUUGCGUUUUUUGCGUUUUUUGCGUUCUUUGCGUUCUUUGCGUUCUUUGCGUUCUUUGCGUUCUUUCCGUUGUUGUUGUUUUUGAACUGUCACCUAAUUUUCUGCCCUAUGUUUCUGUCUCUGUGGAGGUUCUUUCCGUUCUUUCCGUUCUUUCUGUCUCUGUGGAGGUUCUUUGCGUUCUUUGCGUUCUUUGCGUUCUUUGCGUUCUUUGCGUUCUUUGCGUUCUUUGCGUUCUUUGCGUUCUUUGCGUUCUUUGCGUUCUUUGCGUUCUUUGCGUUCUUUGCGUUCUUUGCGUUCUUUGCGUUCUUUGCGUUCUUUGCGUUCUUUGCGUUGUUGUUUUUGAACUGUCACCUAAUUUUCUGCCAUAUGUUUCUGUCUCUGUGGAGGUUCUUUCCGUUCUUUCCGUUCUUUCCGUUCUUUCCGUUCUUUCCGUUCUUUCCGUUCUUUUUGUUGUUUUUGAACUGUCACCUAAUUUUCUGCCCUAUGUUUCUGUCUCUGUGGAGGUUCUUUCCGUUCUUUCCGUUCUUUCUGUUGUUGUUUUUGAACUUCACCUAAUUUUUGCCCUAUGUUUCUGUCUCUGUGGAGGUUCUUUCCGUUCUUUCCGUUCUUUGUUGUUGUUUUUGAACUGUCACCUAAUUUUCUGCCCUAUGUUUCUGUCUCUGUGGAGGUUCUUUCCGUUCUUUCCGUUCUUUUUGUUAUUUUUGAACUGUCACCAAAUUUUCUGCCCUAUGUUUCUGUCUCUGUGGAGGUUCUUUCCGUUCUUUCCGUUCUUUCCGUUCUUCGUUCUUCCGUUGUUGUUUUUGAACUGUCACCUAAUUUUCUGUUCUAUGUUUCUGUCUCUGUGGAGGUUCUUUCCGUUCUUUCCGUUCUUCGUUCUUUCGUUUUUUUUGUUUUUUGAACUGUCACCAAUUUUCUGCCUAUGUUUCUGUCUGCGUGGAGGUUCUUUCCGUUCUUUCCGUUCUUUCUGUUUGUUUUUUGAACUUUCACCAAUUUCUGCCCUAUGUUUCUGUCUCUGUGGAGGUUUUUCCGUUCUUUCCGUUCUUUCCGUUCUUUCGUUUUUGUUGUUUUGAACUGUCACCUAAUUUUCUGCCCUAUGUUUCUGUCUCUGUGGAGGUUCUUUCCGUUCUUUCCGUUCUUUCUGUUGUUGUUUUUGAACUUCACCUAUUUUUGCCUAUGUUUCUGUUCUGUGGAGGUUCUUUCCGUUCUUUCCGUUCUUUCUGUUGUUGUUUUUGAACUGUCACCUAAUUUUCUGUUCUAUGUUUCUGUCUCUGUGGAGGUUCUUUCCGUUCUUUCCGUUCUUUCCGUUCUUUCUGUUGUUGUUUUUGAACUGUCACCUAAUUUUCUGUUCUAUGUUUCUGUCUCUGUGGAGGUUCUUUCCGUUCUUUCCGUUCUGUCCGUUCUUUCGUUCUUUUUGUUGUUUUGAACUGUGAUCUAAUUUUCUGCCCUAUGUUUCUGUGUUUGUGGAGGUUCUUUCCGUUCUUUCCGUUCUUUUUGUUGUUUUUGAACUGUCACCAAAUUUUCUGCCCUAUGUUUCUGUCUCUGUGGAGGUUCUUUCCGUUCUUUCCGUUCCUUUUUCCUUGUUUUUU